rnacentral:rRNA from 1 species
UACCAGCACCCCGAGUGGUCGGGACGUUUUAUUGGGCCUAAAGCAUCCGUAGCCGGUUCUACAAGUCUUCCGUUAAAUCCAACUGCUUAACAGGUGGGCUGCGGAAGAUACUAUAGAGCUAGGAGGCGGGAGAGGCAAGCGGUACUCGAUGGGUAGGGGUAAAAUCCGUUGAUCCAUUGAAGACCACCAGUGGCGAAGGCGGCUUGCCAGAACGCGCUCGACGGUGAGGGAUGAAAGCUGGGGGAGCGAACGGG